ACUCCUCCAAUUUCAAGCAAACUAAUCUAAGAAAAAGGAAUGAUUGCUCACAUUUAUCAGCAAAUGGUCCAACUAUUAAUCCAAAUCUCAACAUUAACCCAUAGAUCGGUAAGCUGACUUUAGACACACACUUACACAACCUUCACCUUUUUUUAUCACGUUUUUCUAUUUUUCUCUUUUUUUCUUUCUUUUUUUUUUUUACUAUUUUUUUUUCUUUUUCAAUAAUAACAAAAGACUUAGUUUCUAGCCAUUAGAGCCUUUUGACGCGAACUCCAACAUUUGAUAGAUGGAGGAGCCCGGUUACUCAGCUCCAAUCGCUACGAGACCAUGCACUCAUAGCAACUACUACCUUUUGACGCGAAAAUCAACACUUUAGGUGAAGAUCCCCGGUUACUCAGUAGUAACUACUAGCGGAGUACAGUCAACUCUUAUUUACAAUCAUAUAACACAACAACUAAAAAUAACAGCAGCCAGCCUCAAAUUCCAAAUAUGGAGAACUAAAAUUAAUAAUUGGACCAAUUCACAUGAAGAAUGCCAACAAUCAUUCCCUAUGCCUAGAAGAGUUAACCAAAAAUUGAAAAAGUCAAGCAAGUAUUGAUAUUCACCAAAGAGAUGUUCCUGAACUCAACUACAUCAACUUGAUAUCCUUUUAUUACUAAAACUUGGCAAUAGCAGAAUUAGAAACAGCAAUCCAAUAUCAAAACUUGGUAUUCAUAUAAAACUGAUCACUAGUAAAAGUAAAAAAAGAAAAUAAACGAGAAAAUAGAACAAAUAACAACGAAAAUAAAGGAAAAAAAAAACUAAAAACUAAACACCAGAAAUACCAGCUGUACCACAGCUCUCCCUCCACACCUAAAUCCGACAUUGUCCUCAAUGGAGGUAAUAUAGCAAUUAAAGCGAAGAGAAAAACGAAACUUCCCUCUCAAGCGGCUACGGGAUAGGCGGGAACGGGGGAGUGAAGCAGACAUGGUGGAAGUACGCGGCCAGGUUCUUAGAGAUUGGAGCCAUCUGGUUGGCGAUAUGCAUUACUUGCUCAUCCGCGUGGUGAACCUGAUCUCGGAAGUGGCGCCACUUAGCAUCAGAGGCCAUCGGUGGGAGAGGCCACUUAGCAAAUUCAAAACAAUAACAAUUUAAUAGCCACUGGUGCCUCCCUCGUAGACAACCCAAUCAACAAAAUGCACAACCUAGGCACCUAGAGACUAUACAAAUAUCCCAACAAUACAGCAAUUUCAAUCAAUACUCACUGGUGGCCCCAAUUCAGUCAGAUGUAGAAACAAAGCAGUCCGAGAUUACCAACACAACCAGUACCAUUGGUGCACAUAAGACGAAUAAAUUAUACGCCAAACACCACAACCAGUACCACUGGUGCACAUGUAGAAAAGAAGUAAAUCACACGGCCAAACUAAACAAUAAAAUGCACCCCUAAGGCACCCAAAAUACUAGAAAAGUACCCUAACAACACAGCAAAUUGAAUGAAUAUGCACUGGGUCUCCCAUUCAGUCAAAAUAAGAUCAAGGGGCACGAUACAGAAACUAACAAAGCAGAACUCAAGUGAUACCAACAGGGACCCCAAUAGAGCAAAGAAUUUAACCAAACGGAGCAAGUGAAACUCAAUAAAUGUCACCAAUUGGACAUUCAAUUACCCACUUUAAACGACCAAACCUAGCAAUUGGGCCAAGCAAUAGGCAAUUCUAGCAACCACCGUUUAGAAUUUGAGAAACAAUUUAAGCACUAAAACCCAAGAAUCAAGUAGGCAGUCAAGCAUAAAGGAAUAAGAAAUUUUAGUCAACACCACAACCAGUACCUCCGCUGCAGGUACAGGGAAAAAAAAAUUAAAUCAAAUGGCCAACCCACUGCACCUGAUAAAUCCGAACACACCAAGUAGCACAAAAAAUGAGCAGAAAUCAAAACGACAAGCAAUUGGAAACUACCUCCCAAAUCAACCCCAACCAUUCCCAAACAAAUGAACUGGCACAAGAGCCGGCAAAUUUUAUCUCCCAGAUGCAAUAGAAAUCUCAAGUAGUCAAAACCCAAAUAAUAUUCAACAAUAUAAUCAACACCAGAGAGCACCCCAAACAAUGUAACAGUUAAACUCCACGGGCAAGGGACGUCCAACCACUUUCACUCGAGCAAACUAGGAGCAGUGUGAGUAACUAAACAAAGCAACAAAUUUCAGCAAUUGGACACAUAUCCACCCAAAAUCUCAACAACUGUCUCCAAUUGGACAGUUAAAUACCCAGUUAAACCCACCAAAAUUAGCAAAUGACCCAAGAAACCAGCAAUUCCAGCAACUAAUGGUAAGAAUCGAGAGACAGUUCAGGCACCAAAACUCAAGAAUCGAAUAGGCAGUCCAGCACAGAGGAUUAAGAAAUGGAAAGCAACACUGCAACCAGUACCACUGGUGCACAGACAGGAAAGAAUUAAAUUCAAUGGCAGCAACACAACCGCAAGAACUUAAACUUUAAAAUUAAUCAACCAGUACCACUGGUGAGUCACAGGGAAAAAUUAAUCAACCAGCCAAAAAUUCAAAUAAUAGCAGAAAAUAUCCCCACUAUGUCAGCAAUUAAACCCAACUCUGUUCAAAAUUUACCCUAGAAAAUGCCCAAAUUAUCACCUUCGUUUAUCCAUCAAGAAAUUCAACCACAACUUUCAGAGAGUGAAACUAAUUUGGGGAAGAAUUCAAUACCUCCACCUGUCAAAGAAAUUUGACAGGUGGCUUGCGCUGUGUGGACUGGCGGUGGAGCUUGGAGGUGCAGAGGUGGAGCUGGCUGGAGGGCGGCGCGGGGUGAAGCUGGGGCGCGACGGAGGAGGUGCACGCGAGGCGGAUGAGCUGGGGUGGAGGUGACGUGCGGCGGAGAGAGGGAGAAAUAGGCGGGGCUCGUGGGCUGUCGCGAUGGCAGUGGCGGAGUGGCGAGCUGAGGCGGCGGCUUCUCGCGCAGGUGAAGGGCUGAAGAGCUGGUGGUGCGGCGCAGCUGGUCAGUGAAGAGAGGCGCAGCGAGCUCCUGGUGGCGGUGGAGGCGCGCGAGCUCAGGAGGAGCUGCGCGCGAUGGGAAAGGGAGCCGCGGCGUGCGGCGGACGAAGCUGGAGGAGGCGCACGGUGAUGGAGCAGGCCGUGGGUGGGGUGCGGCGAGCUAAGCUGAGGGGGCGGCGCUCCUGGAAGGUGAGAGUGGAGGAGAGGCGCGGCUUGGCCGCGAGCUGAUGGCGUGCGAUCUGAUGGCAUGGGGCAUGGAGCAUGGAGGCUGCGGCUGAAGUAGAAAAGGACAGGGGAAAGGGGAAAGCAGCGGGGAAGAAGGAAGAAAGAAAAAGAAGAAAGAAAGAAAGAAAGAAAAGAAAAAGAAGGAAAGAAAAAAGAAAAGAAAAAAAAAUAGUUUUUUGGGAUUUUUUUUUUUAGUUUAGAAUUUGAAUUUUCCAAAAUAAAAUCGCAGGUUACAAUGGAAAGUAUUUUUUUUUAUUUUUUUCUAAAAAAAAAAUUUUUUUUUUCAAUAAAGAGAAAUAUAAAAAUAUAAAAAUUUUUCUUUUGUCUUUGGGUCGUCAAACACCGCGUGGGCACGCCAAGAUUGACAAACGUCCACUGAUCUCAAGAGUCACAAACACCGCGUGGGCACGCCAAGAUUGCACUUCCUGCCACAGUGGAGAAAAAUAUGAAGAUCGAUUACUACUCAACUGAGAAACGAAAAACGAAAGAAAUGAACAACGAAAAAUAAUAAAAUCAAUAUUUGGGUUGCCUCCCAAAAAGCGCCUUUCUUUAAUGUCUUUGGCUAGACAUUAUUAUGUUUUUUUUUCAUGGAGGAUAAAAUCGUGUGGCUCGUCUCAAUGCUUCAUCUUCAAUGUGAUCCUGGUAAUCCUCAUAGAUGGAGUAAUCUUUGAACACACGAGCUACGGUCUUCCAUGGAGUAGUAGAUGGCGCCAAAUAAUCAAGCAGUGAUCUCAAUUCUUCAUCCACUCCUCCAUCAAGAGCACUCAACGGUUCAAGAUAUUUGACCAUAGAUACUCUUAACUCAUUCCUGCCAUGAGACUCAAGAACUUCCGGUAUAACAAAAUCAAUCUCAUUAACAGAAAUUGUAGAGUCAGAGUUAAGAAAAUGCGGGUUAGGGAAUGGAGAUAGUGUCACCACAUUUGAUGAUUCUUCACUGGAUUCUUUCACUUGAAUGGGUUGCGGUUGGGGUUCCAUUUCUUCCUUUUCGGCUUCUUUUUCAACUGCAUCUGUACAUCUCUCUUCUUGAAAAUCUUGCAGCUCCUCAUCACUAGUCAGGCGAAUUGCACUCUCAUUUUCAACAAUGGUUUUCGAGGGCAAUUCUUCAAAUUGAGAAGCCAGUCGAUUUAUUCUGGAUGUCAAUAGACACAUUUGAUCUUCCAGAUUACUCAUUGCAUCCUUCAUCAUCUCAUUCCUCAUUUGUGUCUCCUGUUGGAAUUGGUAUGUAUUAGUAGCUAAUGAUUCAACUAUUUCUUCAAGAGACAUACCUGACAUAGAUGACGAUUCUUGAGACUCAUGCUGCUGACAAUUCAUUGGCCCCGUUGUAUAAUUAUAAUCGGAGUUAUCCCACCAUUCUUGAUCAUACCCGUUUGGAAUUGGGUUAUACCACGUUUGAAACCAGGGUGAAAAAUCUCCAUAAUUAUUGAGGGGGACACUCAGAUUAUCUUGAUAUUCGGGGCACAUACCGGUUGAAUGAUCCCUGGCAUAACAAAUUUUACAGGUUGCAGCAGCCAUUCUUUCUCUAAUAGAGUUUAGUGCCUCUGAAUAUGCAAACUUAGCAAAAAAACUAGUCUCAUCGCCUUCCCCGGAAACAAAAUCCAGACUAUCACCAAAAUAUGGAGUGUUAGAAGCCAUAAACUAUAUUAAAAAAAAUAAGAGAUAAAUAAAAUAAAAAAAUAAAAUAAAAACAAGAUGAACUCAAAAAGAAAUAAAUUAAUCUGACACCAGUCCCCGGCAACGGCGCCAAAAAUUGACAGGUGCCGAACCUGUGCAAUAAUAAUUACCUACUCAAGAAAAAUACAGAUUUUGUAUAUAGCGGUGAGUAGGGUCGAAUCCACAGGGACUGGGGAUAAUUCGUUUCUUCUGGAGUCCAAAGUAUGGGGGGUUUUGGAUUAAAUGCUAACUAAAUAAAUUAACUGCAGAAAAUAAUUAAUUAAAAGAAAUAAUUGGGAAAACUCUAGCCAAAGGUACACAUCAGAAAUGGUUCAUGCAACUGAUCAUCGAUUCAAAUAUAAUUCCAACAUUUGUUAAUAGAUUAGUUAUAGUUGUCAUGCACGCGAUAAACAACCAACCUUUCCUUACUUUUUCGAUAGUUAAGGUACGACCGUUAACUAUUUCUCUAACCCAAAAACAACCCUAGGUACGACCGUAGGAUUUAAUUUCUAGAUUGCAUUAAUAAUUAGAAAGGCCCAAUCCUAACUAACAAACACGCUACGAGGGUUUGUUUAAGUUAGAUCGUAUGCUCCUCUGACAUAAACCCAAUUACGCCAGUUGCUACUGAGAUAAAGAUAACGAACAAUUACGGAUUCAAUUAUCCCUAUUUAGCAAAAUAACCUAUGUGAAUAAUUAAAUAUUGCGCAUCUAUUCAAUCACUCACACGAGCUAUAGCAAUUAAAAGCAGGAAACAUAUAAAUACCAAUAAAUUAAGGAAGCAAUUAAAAUAAAUUAGAUCUCACAGUAAUUGUUGAACCAAAUCUUCAGUUGUCCCCUUAACUAGAAAAGCUUAACCACGCCUCAUGAGAAAAUCUCCCCGUUGGGGAAUAUUGUCGAACACCUGGCGUGUGUCAGAGGCCAGUCUAAGGAAAGAAAGAAAAGAAACUAAAACUAAACUAAAACUAGAGAUAUCCCUCAUACUCUACGUUAUCCCUAUUUAAGCAAUAAAAGAAAGAUGACUAAAGGCUAUCUAGGUGGUCCCCACACAUGUGGACAAAGCCUUCAAAGUACUUCUUGCCCCCAAGUCUCUUUCCGUAACUUUCUUUUAAGAGUCCAAAUGACUAGAUGCCUUCCACUAGCUUGUGGUCCCCACCAAUUCAAGAGCCCAAGCAUUGAAACCCUUAAAAAUCUCCAUAUUUUCCAUAAAGUCCCUCCUUUUUGGUAGUUUUCUGCUUUAUUCCUGAAAUUAAAUCCAAAUACCAAAUAUGAGUAAAUAUCAGCAAUUAACACAAUAUUUGUCAGGGAUAGAAGGGGAAAUCAAUAAUAAAAUUACUAACAAAUUAUACCCUAUCAAUUCCCCCCACACCUGAAUCAUGCUUGCCCUCAAGCAUGAGAACAACAAUUGAACACCAAAAUUCGACCAUGGCUGUUACUCCAACUACCGUAUUGCCAAGACACCAAGAAAAUCAUAUAUCAAGCGACACAGGUCAAGAUCCAAGAAAAAUCACUCCGGUUAGUAUAUAAACUACCAACUCCUCCAAUUUCAAGCAAACUAAUCUAAGAAAAAGGAAUGAUUGCUCACAUUUAUCAGCAAAUGGUCCAACUAUUAAUCCAAAUCUCAACAUUAACCCAUAGAUCGGUAAGCUGACUUUAGACACACACUUACACAACCUUCACCUUUUUUUAUCACGUUUUUCUAUUUUUCUCUUUUUUUCUUUCUUUUUUUUUUUUACUAUUUUUUUUUCUUUUUCAAUAAUAACAAAAGACUUAGUUUCUAGCCAUUAGAGCCUUUUGACGCGAACUCCAACAUUUGAUAGAUGGAGGAGCCCGGUUACUCAGCUCCAAUCGCUACGAGACCAUGCACUCAUAGCAACUACUACCUUUUGACGCGAAAAUCAACACUUUAGGUGAAGAUCCCCGGUUACUCAGUAGUAACUACUAGCGGAGUACAGUCAACUCUUAUUUACAAUCAUAUAACACAACAACUAAAAAUAACAGCAGCCAGCCUCAAAUUCCAAAUAUGGAGAACUAAAAUUAAUAAUUGGACCAAUUCACAUGAAGAAUGCCAACAAUCAUUCCCUAUGCCUAGAAGAGUUAACCAAAAAUUGAAAAAGUCAAGCAAGUAUUGAUAUUCACCAAAGAGAUGUUCCUGAACUCAACUACAUCAACUUG
rnacentral:lncRNA from 1 species